ensembl:ncRNA snoRNA:Or-CD17 snoRNA:Orphan CD box 17
UGACGCACUAGGGUUGCUGAUGAUUGGUGCUUGGAGACCAGACUACCGAUUCCCUGCUCAUCCAUUUCCACAUUGCAAAUGGGCGUGCCGCCUGAUGUGGAAC